rnacentral:lncRNA from 1 species
UUUUAUUCUCAUCUACUCACCCCUUUCUUUUUCCUUUUCCCUCUCUCUCUCUCUUUCCUUUUUGAUCGAAAAGCCGUCUAUUAAAAACCUGCGUCAUUGCAUCACUUUUUUCUUUCUGGAUCGUUUACCCGUUGGCGUGAAGCUCAGCGUGGCUCACACUGGUCAUUUGUGUCUCAUUUUCAAAGGUCUGGGUCCCAGUAUGGCUGGCCAGGAUUUUGCGAGCAAUUCCUCGGUGAAGAUGUCGGAGAGGUCGGGCAGCGGGCGCGAGAAAGAGAAAGAGAAAGAGCGGGUAGAGAGGGGGGGCUCAGGUGAGACGGGCAGCGGGUCGAAAGAAUCAGCCGGGAAAAGAGGAAGAGGAGCCGAGCCGUGGAGAAGGUGAUGAACUCCAGCAACCCCUCCAGCCCCGGAGGAGCCAAGCGCCGCAGGACGUAGCCGCAGCUUGCAGCAGGACGACUUGGGACAGUCAGACAUUUGAAAAGAACUGUAGCUAAUAUUGGUCGUGCUAGAGCCAAUGUGAAAGUGAAAUGACAUGGCGUGCAGGGGAUGUGAUGUUCGUGUGCGUUAUCUGCAGUCCAGAGGUUCACUGCGAGAGGCGUUCCUGUGCUUUAAGCCUUCUGAGCUGUUCACAGACAGACGGUGGAAAUAUAGAGAAAGGAAAGUCUGGUGGUUGUGUAGGAUCAGACUAGACUGAUGGGGAAAUAUGAUAAACUAAUAAGCUUUCCUCUGUUGAGUUUGGAAACUAAAACUUUAAUUUUUUUUUUUUUUUUUAUUUUUAAGAAAAACAAAUUUUAUUUUUUUUUUUUUAAGUUAUUUGUGGGAAUUUUAAGUGGUAGCUUUAUUUAUUUUUGUCAGAGUUCUUGAGAGGGACCAGAGUAUCAACUAGUUUGUUGUGUGAUUUAUUAGGACUUACACUGCAAAUAAACUGAGCUAGACAUGUUAUUAACUGUUUGAGAUAACUUGAUUGUAUUAGCCAAUUAGAUGGUCAUUGAUCAAAUUCUUACGGAAUAGUGAUGGUAUUUGCACUGUUUCUGAGUCAUGCUUGUUUUACAUUUUUGACUGAACAUGUUAAACACAUCAGGAGUAUGUCCCUGAUUAAAAAAAUUAUAAUGCGCUAUAUUGGUCUGAUCUGACUUCUUAAUUCCUAAUCUGGCAAUGCCGCAGGACGUAGCCGCAGCUUGCAGCAGGACGACUUGGGACAUCAGACAUUUGAAAAGAACUGACAGAGAAAGGGUUUAGCUAAUAUUGGUCGUGCUAGAGCCAAUGUGAAAGUGAAAUGACAUGGCGUGCAGGGGAUGUGAUGUUCGUGUGCGUUAUCUGCAGUCCAGAGGUUCACUGCGAGAGGCGUUCCUGUGCUUUAAGCCUUCUGAGCUGUUCACAGACAGACGGUGGAAAUAUAGAGAAAGGAAAGUCUGGUGGUUGUGUAGGAUCAGACUAGACUGAUGGGAAAGUAUGAUAAACUAAUAAGCUUUCCUCUGUUGAGUUGGAAACAAAACAAUUUUUUUUUUUUUUUUUUUUAAGAUUUGUGGGAAUUUUAAGUGGUAGCUUUAUUUUAUUUUUGUCAGAGUUCUUGAGAGGGACCAGAGUAUCAACUAGUUUGUUGUGUGAUUUAUUAGGACUUACACUGCAAAUAAACUGAGCUAGACAUGUUAUUAACUGUUUGAGAUAACUUGAUUGUAUUAGCCAAUUAGAUGGUCAUUGAUCAAAUUCUUACGGAAUAGUGAUGGUAUUUGCACUGUUUCUGAGUCAUGCUUGUUUUACAUUUUUGACUGAACAUGUUAAACACAUCAGGAGUAUGUCCCUGAUUAAAAAAAUUAUAAUGCGCUAUAUUGGUCUGAUCUGACUUCUUAAUUCCUAAUCUGGCAAUGAACAAUAUUUAAUGUGUUAGCCUCCCUUUGAUCAUUCCUUGGUCUGUUCUGGUAAAUGAUAAAUGAUCCAAAAAGGGAUUUAAAAUGGUUUAACUUCUUAUGAUGCCACAUGAGUAUUUUUUAUCUUUUUGGUACAUUAGAAACCAAAUAUCUAGCAGCGCUUCAAAGAACACUGGCACUUCUUUACCUCUGUCAGCAAAUGUAAAGAACAGACCAGAAAACUGAUCAGAUCCCAAUAAUAAAUGUAUACAAUUUCAGAUGUACUAAAAUUGCAUCUAACUAAAGACAUAGAAUCAGUUACCUCUAGAAUAACCUAGUAAUAAACAUUCUCAAUAAUAAUACAAAAAAAUGUAUAUUAGGAAUCUGUGGGUGUCAUAUUUCAGACCCACACAGGAGUUAAUUGAGGAUAAGAUGCUGAGUCACUGAACGCUGCUCUGUUGCAGUGUGUUCCUCCUCCAUCUCUCGUACUCUUCCUCUCAGCUAGUUUCUGCUGCUGUUGUAGCUGUCUCACUGCACCACCAGCCUCCCCCCACUUUGAAUGCCGCAUUGCUGUAUCAAAGUGGGGUGAGUUCAUUACGCACACAGACUUGGACUGUGCUGCCACCUUUGAGGAGCAGAGUGUCUGUUUGCUGAGGGGAGAACAGAACAGGGUCCGCCUGUCAGCUGCAGGUAAGAGGCCACAAACAUCCUCCUGCUGAUAGACUUUAACUAUAUACUCAUAGCGGUUAACAGCUUUUUUUCCUAUUGUGUUUUUAUUUAGUACUGCCCUGAUGAAGCUAUUCAACAAAACAUUACUUGUUAUUUGAUAUAUAAAUUAAUAGCAGAAUUUACACAUCCUGUUCAAAAGCU